rnacentral:rRNA from 1 species
UAACGCGAAGAACCUUACCUGGGUUUGACAUCCCACGAAUCCCUAUGAAAAUAGGGAGUGCCCUUCGGGGAGCGCGGAGACAGGUGCUGCAUGGCUGUCGUCAGCUCGUGCCGUGAGGUGUUGGGUUAAGUCCCGCAACGAGCGCAACCCUUGUUGCCAGUUGCUACCAGGUAAUGCUGGGCACUCUGGCGAGACUGCCCGGGUCAACCGGGAGGAAGGUGGGGACGACGUCAAGUCAUCAUGGCCCUUACAUCCAGGGCUACACACGUACUACAAUGGCAGGUACAAAGGGUUGCCAAGCCGCGAGGCCGCGCUAAUCCCAGAAAGCCUGUCUCAGUCCGGAUUGCAGUCCGCAACUCGACUGCAUGAAGCUGGAAUCGCUAGUAAUCCCGGAUCAGCAUGCCGGGGUGAAUACGUUCCCGGGUCUUGUACACACCGA